GGCAACCUAUUCUCUCUGCUCUGUCCCCAGAACAACAUCAUGGUGGUGAAGGAUGACAUCAACCAUCCCAUGUCUGUUGUCAGCUCAACCAAGAGCAGGCUGGCCCUGCAGCAUGGGGACGGCCAUGUCGUGGAUUACCUGUCCCAGCCCGUCAUCGACUACAUUCUCAAGAGCCAGCUGUACAUCAACGCCUCGGGCUAGCGGCCACACAGCCUCCGCCGCGCUCUCCCCAUGACCCCCGCCAACACACUGGCCCCUCCAGUCUCUGUCCCGUUUCUCUGCGGCCUCUGUUUCUCCAUCUCCUCAUCUUGACUGUUCUCCCCGUUCGCCGGCUCCAGCCCCCACAGUGUGGGGACCUUCAGAGACCCUCGGCAUCCCUUACUCCGCAGUCAUCUUUGGACAAACUUUCCUCUGGUCUCCGGGUUGGGGGUGGGUGAGGGCAUAGGGGUGGGAGUUGGGGGGAAGUGCCGUCCUUGGAGAUGUGCUGGUGGCCAUCUCCCAGCAUGCUCUAGAGAGUGGCUCUGGUGCCCAUCCUCCCAGCAUGCUCUGGGGAGGCAGCUCUGGCUCUCGCCUUCCCAGCAUGCCCUUUACCACAAAGGGCUAUUUUUUUCUUUUCUGUUUUUUUUUUGUUUGUUUUGUUGUUGUUGUUUUGUUUUGUUUUGAUUUUGAUUUUGAUUGUUGUUCACGCCUCAUAGAACUUGGAUGAAAUCAG